GCAUGCCUGAUUGACUCAGUUGAAACAGCGUGCAACUCUUGGUCUCGGGGUAGUGAGUUCAAGCCCCAAGUCAGGAAGCCCGCGGUGUUAGCUCACGUCCAGUCUAUCUGAGCUGUAAAAAUAAGACAGGAGCCAUGGGAGUGCAGACCAGUGACACUAUCGCUGGACCUAAGGACAACUCUGGGGGCUGCAGGUGCUCCUUGGCUUGUGGCUGUACCACUCCGACUCCUGCCCCUGUCCUCACAUGGCCUUCUUCUCUUCCUUCCAUCCUUCCUGUGAGUAUGUCUUGGAAGGAUACCUGUCACUGGAUUUAAGAACCACCCCGGUAAGCCAGGAUGAUCCCUUCUCAAGAUCCUUCAUUUAAUUACAUCUGCAAAGACCCUUUUUCCAAAUAAGGUCACAUUCACAGCUUCCUGAGGUUGGGAUGUGGACAUAUCUUUUGAGGGACUGCUAGUCAACAAGCUGCCGAUGAGAAAUCAGCCAUGCUGACUCUGGCCAGUUUGGGCGGGGGCGGGGGGGGGGGGCGGGGGGGAGCAUGGCGAUCUCAGGGAGCAAGGCCCAGGCAGUUCCAGGCAGGAGACUAGUGAUUUGCCCGUUGGCAGGGCCCAAAGGUAAAUUAGUAGCUUAUAAUAAGCAGAUGGACUGGGGAAUCCAAGAAGGGUAUGUUCAAUUUUUCCUAUUAGUUCAGCUUCUGUUUAUUCAAACAACCUUAAGUGAUAAAGAAGAUAUUUGACAGUUACUGGGGUGGCUCAGAGAAUUAACACAAGAGCCAAUGAUCCACUUCUGGAACCGACACAGAAUCCGGAGCAGAUGUUGUCGUUGAAUGCUGCCAUUUUCCAGAACUCCAUCGUGGACAUAUGCUGCUCUGAUAAUGCCUGAGCUCUCUCCCAGAGGAGAAUUGGGCUCCAAUCAAGUGUGAGAGCUAUCAGCCAUGGUACAGGCAUGACAGCUGUGAGCUGGAGAAGUCACCCCAGCAGGGGUCUGUGACAGGCGGGCUGGGGUGGCUUCGGUGCUGGACAGGGGGAGGGGGGACCAGAGAGCAGGAGCAAUGCAGCCAGCUGGGAGUGCCUGGUCCAGAGACCACAUCUCCAACCACUUUGUCUAAGGACUCUUGAGACUCAAAAAUUAAAGAGAAAUCCAAAGAGA